GCGAACGCUGGCGGCAGGCUUCACACAUGCCAGUCGAGCGGGCACUUUCGGGUGUCAGCGGCGGACGGGUGAGUAACGCGUGGGAACGUGCCCUCUGGUUCGGAAUAACUCAGGGAAACUUGAGCUAAUACCGGAUACGCCCUUUUGGGGAAAGGCUUGCUGCCGGAGGAUCGGCCCGCGUCUGAUUAGCUAGUUGGUGAGGUAACGGCUCACCAAGGCGACGAUCAGUAGCUGGUCUGAGAGGAUGAUCAGCCACACUGGGACUGAGACACGGCCCAGACUCCUACGGGAGGCAGCAGUGGGGAAUAUUGGACAAUGGGCGCAAGCCUGAUCCAGCCAUGCCGCGUGAGUGAUGAAGGCCUUAGGGUUGUAAAGCUCUUUUAUCCGGGACGAUAAUGACGGUACCGGAGGAAUAAGCCCCGGCUAACUUCGUG
rnacentral:rRNA from 1 species